CUAUAACAAAGGGAAGCGAAACAGUGAUGUGAAGCGAAACUCAAAAAAGUAAGUCUCAGUUCGGAUUGAAGGCUGAAAUUCGCCUUCAUGAAGCCGGAAUUGCUAGUAAUGGCAGGUCAGCAUACUGCCGUGAAUACGUUCCCGGGCCUUGUACACACCGCCCGUCACACCAUGGGAGUCGGCAACGCCCGAAGCCAGUGACCCAACCUUUCGAGGAGGGAGCUGUCGAAGGCGGGGCCGGUAACUAGGGUGAAGUCGUAACAAGGUAAC
rnacentral:rRNA from 1 species